rnacentral:lncRNA from 1 species
AAAAACCUGAAUUCGGCUAUCUUCAAUAGUUUUCAUAGCUUAGGCCAAACUGAAAAAUUAAAAUAAGAGGACAUGGUUUCCCAGUUGUGUUUUUGGCAUUGCCUUUGUUCUCUGUUCCUUUCAUUUAGCAGGACUGGCAUUGUUCAUUGCUGUGAGAUCUACGCCUUGGACUCAGAAUUAUUGGCCAUAUUUUAUCUGGAGCCGCACGCAGGAAGAUUGCUUUGUACCACAUUUCCGACUCAGCCCAAACAUUGCCGUACGCUGCUCUUUCACCUUCCUGUGGACAUUGCAGAGCUUCAGUUGGCCUGA